rnacentral:tRNA from 1 species
CGGGGGCUAGCUCAGCUGGAUAGAGCAAUCGGCUUUUAACCGAUUGGUCACGUGUUCGAAUCACGUGCCCCCGA